GAUGAACGCUAGCGGCAGGCCUAACACAUGCAAGUCGAACGGUAACAGAGAAGAGCUUGCUCUUUUGCUGACGAGUGGCGCACGGGUGAGUAACGCGUAUACAAUCUACCUUUUACAGGGGGAUAGCCUUUAGAAAUGAAGAUUAAUAUCCCAUAGUAAGUUAUCAUUGCAUGAUAGUAACUUUAAAGUUUCGGCGGUAAAAGAUGAGUAUGCGUUCUAUUAGCUAGAUGGUGUGGUAACGGCACACCAUGGCAACGAUAGAUAGGGGCCCUGAGAGGGGGAUCCCCCACACUGGUACUGAGACACGGACCAGACUCCUACGGGAGGCAGCAGUGAGGAAUAUUGGACAAUGGGCGCGAGCCUGAUCCAGCCAUGCCGCGUGCAGGAAGACUGCCCUAUGGGUUGUAAACUGCUUUUAUACAGGAAGAAACCUUUUCACGUGUGAAAAGCUGACGG
rnacentral:rRNA from 1 species